UGACUAAACAUUGUAAACACUUUUCUAGUAAAUUAACUCGUAUAAAUUAUAUAAACUUCUUCUACAACUUUCACAUAAAGCUCAAUAUGAUAAGCCCCCCCUCAAUACUUUCAUAACACGAUUAAAAUUGUGUAAUGAAAUGUAUUUUUGUGUUCUUGUGUCUUGGUAGUCUGGUGGUGAAUGAGCAGUCGGUUUGGAGAGAUCAGUUCUAUGACGGAAACGUGAGGAAAGACUAAAGAGAGAGGGAAACAGCUCACCUGAUCGCCCCGUGGAUGGCUUUGCACAUGGACAGGAAGGCGAUAAUGACGAGGAUCGACGGCACCGGAUGAAGAGUAAGU